UACAAUAUAUCUAUCCUAAUUAAAAAUCAAGGAACACGCUAAUUGGAAAAUUUUUAAUUUAUGCGUAAUCUAUUUUUUAGAGAAUUAUGAAGUAUUUAUUAAAAGAGAACUUAUCUAAACUAGGUUGCAUAUUUAGAUUUAAAGAGGAAAUAAGUUUCAUUUUUUGUGAAAAAAAAGAAGAAAACUUUGCAAGAGAAACAAUUAUUAUUUUAUUUUAUUUUAUUUAUUUAUUAUUUAUUUUUGAAGAAAAAUCACUAUCCAAGUAGACUAUUAAUUGCGCGAAUAAAACAAAUGCCAUUCGUAAACGAAGUGUCUAAUUUUUUAAAGACUUGAUUUUUUAGGUAGAAAGAAUCGAAAGACCCACCUUAAUCCAUUUAGGCGUGAUAAAUCGAGUAUGAAAAUCGAAAUAAAAUAAAACAGCAACAACGUGGGGAAUCACUAGAUUAAUUAAAGCUAAUUAAAAUAAAUCAAGUAUAAAUAAGAGAAUAAGAGUAAAAGUUGGAAUUGGGCCUUUUUGGACCCAUCAGUGGGCUGCCCAGCUUUGGGCUUCCCAUUUUAUGGACUUUAAGUCCAUUUCCUUGCAAUGUAUAUCAGCUGUAUACUGACUGUAUAUCAGUCCCCAUUGUUGUUGCGUUUUUGUAUAUCUGGUGUAUACAUGACCGUUUUUCAGCCACACAUACAUAUAUUUUGGUCCUGCACCUGUAUUAAUUUACAACUUUGGCUUUGAGGUCCCAAUGAAUGAUUAAAUAAAUCGAUAGAUAAAUGAACAAAUGAUUACGAUAAGUAAGAGUAAAAAUUUGAAAAUCAUUUGGUAUCUCCGUAAAUGAGUUUCGCCCCCCCAUUUCUUCUCGCGGUGACUUUUCUUAUUCCAAAGAUGGUCGUCUCAAAAAGGAGUAGGCCUCAUUGACACAUCAUGGAAUGCAUAGGGAAAAGAGUCCAUGUAGGACUCGAGAGUGUCCACAUGUGAAAGAAAAAGAAUAAAUCAAUUAGUAUAUGUAAACGUUGAUACCUAACAUAUAAAUAAUAACAUAAUGUAUGCUCAUGAAGAUGGUAAACAAUACAAGAAAUAUUUUAGAACUUUGAAUCAAACAAUUUCAACAUUAUAUUAAUAAAUAAAAUUUUAACAACCCAUCCAAGUUAAUGUAUUGCUAACAAAUGACUGACAUAUUAUUAGCUAAAAUUAAUCUUUAAUAAUUAUAUUAAUAUAUAAAAAAAGUUAAAUAUUACAUUAAUUUAAACAUACCACAUUGAAAAUAACUAUCAAGCCAAAACAAACAAGACAGACUUAACUAUCAAGCCAAAACAAACAAGACAGACCUAAGUUAUUAGAGAAAAAUUUGUAUGUUUAUAUAUGCAAAACCUCUUAUUAAAAUUUGAUUUUAGGCCACUAAUUUUAUUGGGAUACCUAAUAUUGGGAUACCCUAAUAAGUAAACAAAAAAAAAGGAAAUCACAUUUUUAAACGUACAUAACCAAAAUAAAAGAAAAUAAAACAACCAAAAUACCACAAAAAAAAUUUAAAUUUUAUGGUGAUGUCUUCUUGGCCCUAUUAACCAUUAGAACACAUAAUCUAAAAUGCAUGAAUAUAUACGGCGAUCGAAAUAAAAGAAAACAAAACGACCAAACAACAUACAAAAAAAACAACUUUUAUAAGAGAUUCCUUGACCCUAUUAACCAUUAGAAACAUAAACUAAAAUGACAUUUUAAAAAACGUUUUCAGAAUUUUCAUAACUAAUAAGCUUCAACAGAGUUCUACAUUUAAACAAAGACAAAGCUGAGACUCAAAGUAUCACAAUCAAAUUGCUGUAUAUAUAUAUAUUUUAGAAAAUCGAACAACAAGCUAAUAUAUCAAUAUAUAUUUAAACAGAAGCGAUUACAAAUUUCAUAAAAAUAUUCAUCCGAGAGUAACUACUUGAAAUAACAUUUAACUAUUAAACAAAGCAGGGGCUAAAUCAUCAACAGAGUACCAAAACAAUAAAAGAAAACGACAUAACAAACACCUCAUAUCCAUCAAUUCUUUGAAAACAGACAUUUUUAAUUGAAAACAGACACUUUAACAACCUAGGAACUUCAACGCCGUCUAUAGCUACUCCUAGCAAACAAUGCCAUCCGAACAUAACAGAAGAUAUCAAAAUGAGCUAAAACAAUAACACUAAUUGAACAAAAUAUUACGGGCUAAAUCAGAACACCAAAACAAUAAAAAAAACCGACAUAACAAACACCUUAGAUCCAUCAAUUCUUUGAAAACAGACACGCGUAGGAACUUCAACGUCGUCUAUAGCUACUCCCAGCAAACAAUGCCAUGCCAUCCAAACAUAACUACAAGAUAUCAAAAUGAGGUAAAACAAUAACACUAAUGGAACAAAAUAUUACCUGUUUUGGGCAGCAAAACGGAACCACGAGCUUACCGUCGGAAUCACCACGUGAACUUGGAAACUUCAAGUAGACAGCAAUAAAUAAAUAAAUAAAUAAAUAUUUUCACUUCUCACCUUUUCCCCUUUCAUGGAAGUACUAACUUCUCUUUAUAGAUGAAAAUUUCUACUAAGAAAUCAAAAGAAAGUCUCCCUUUAUGGCAGAGGGUAGUUGGGGAUUUGAAAAGAAUUCAAAAGGGAUCAAAACAUAUCUCCUAAAUUUGGAUUCGGAUUAUAGGACCCUCAAUCUUGAGCCAAGGUCAACACUGAUGGCUCUAGUCCUGCAAAUUUCAAAGAUAAGAUGAAGAGAAAGAUUUCGCGUGAUUUGGGGAGGGUGCCGUUGAAGUCCCCGUUUUUUUUUUUUUUUUUUUUUU
rnacentral:lncRNA from 1 species